rnacentral:rRNA from 1 species
GAUGAACGCUGGCGGCGUGCCUAAUACAUGCAAGUCGAGCGAACAGGCCCUGCUCUUGCUCCUUUCACGUUAGCCGCACACGUGUGAGUCACACGAGGAUCCCCUCCUUGUCUGACUGAUAUCACUUCGAAACUCCGGCGCUAAUCCGGGAUAAUAUUUCGCACCACGGUGUUGGUUGGUAAGAGUUGGCGGUUGGGGAUCGACUCGCUGCCCAUCAGCUUGUUUGUCUGGUAGUGGCUUACCAGGGUUUCGAAGGGUAGCCGGCCUGGGAGGGUGACCGGCCACAUUGGGACUGCGAUACGGCCCAGACUCCUACGGGAGGCAGCGGUGGGGAAUAUUGCACAAUGGGCGGAAGCCUGAUGCGGCAACGCCGCGUGCGGGAUAACGGCCUUCGGGUUGUAAACCGCUUUCGCCUGUGACGAAGCGUGAGUGACGGUAAUGAGUAAAGAAGCACCGGCUAACUACGUG